rnacentral:rRNA from 1 species
AACGAACGCUGGCGGCAGGCCUAACACAUGCAAGUCGAGCGCCCCGCAAGGGGAGCGGCGGACGGGUGAGUAACGCGUGGGAACGUACCCUUUUCUGUGGAAUAGCCCAGGGAAACUUGGAUUAAUACCGCAUACGCCCUUCGGGGGAAAGAUUUAUCGGAGAAGGAUCGGCCCGCGUUGGAUUAGGUAGUUGGUGGGGUAAUGGCCUACCAAGCCGACGAUCCAUAGCUGGUUUGAGAGGAUGAUCAGCCACACUGGGACUGAGACACGGCCCAGACUCCUACGGGAGGCAGCAGUGGGGAAUCUUCGGCAAUGGGCGCAAGCCUGACCGAGCCAUGCCGCGUGAGCGAUGAAGGCCUUAGGGUUGUAAAGCUCUUUCGCCAGGGAUGAUAAUGACAGUACCCACAGAAGAAGCCCCGGCUAACUCCGUGCCAGCCGCCGCCGUAA